UACGGAGGGUGCAAGCGUUAAUCGGAAUUACUGGGCGUAAAGCGCACGCAGGUGGCUGAGUCAGUCGAUUGUGAAAGCCCUGGGCUUAACCUGGGAAUUGCAGUCGAUACUACUCAGCUAGAGUAUGGGAGAGGGUAGUGGAAUUCCCGGUGUAGCGGUGAAAUGCGUAGAUAUCUGGAGGAAUACCGGUGGCGAAGGCGGCAUCCUGGACCGACAUUGACGCUGAACGGCGAAAGCUAGGGGAGCAAACGGG
rnacentral:rRNA from 1 species